AGCGAACGCUGGCGGCAGGCUUAACACAUGCAAGUCGAGCGGGCAUCCUUGUGGUGUCAGCGGCAGACGGGUGAGUAACGCGUGGGAACGUGCCCUUCGGUUCGGAAUAACUCAGGGAAACUUGAGCUAAUACCGGAUACGUGCGAGAGCAGAAAGGUUUAUCUGCCGAAGGAUCGGCCCGCGUCUGAUUAGCUAGUUGGUGAGGUUACGGCUCACCAAGGCGACGAUCAGUAGCUGGUCUGAGAGGAUGAUCAGCCACACUGGGACUGAGACACGGCCCAGACUCCUACGGGAGGCAGCAGUGGGGAAUAUUGGACAAUGGGGGCAACCCUGAUCCAGCCAUGCCGCGUGAGUGAUGACGGCCUUAGGGUUGUAAAGCUCUUUUCUCCGGGACGAUAAUGACGGUACCGGAGGAAUAAGCCCCGGCUAACUCCGUG
rnacentral:rRNA from 1 species